UCCCUGGUAGCUCAGCUGGUAUAGAACCUGCCUACAAUGCAGGAGACCUGGGUUCAAUCCCUGGGUUGGGAA
rnacentral:tRNA from 1 species